AUGAACGCUAGCGGCAGGCUUAAUACAUGCAAGUUGAGGGGCAGCAUGAUAUACGCGAGUAUAUUGAUGGCGACCGGCGGACGGGUGAGUAAUAGGUAGGAGACCUACCUCAUACAGGGGGAUAGCAUAGAGAAAUCUGUGGUAAUACCCCAUGAGGUUAUAUGAAUAGAGGCAUAUAAUCAAAGCAUAAGCGAUUAUGCGGUAUGAGAGGGGCCUACUGACCAUUAGCUAGUUGGUGAGGUAAGGGCUCACCAAGGCGAAGAUGGUUAGGGGUUUUGAGAGAGAGACCCCCCACAUUGGAACUGAGAGACGGUCCAGACUCCUACGGGAGGCAGCAGUAGGGAAUAUUGGGCAAUGGGCGAAAGCCUGACCCAGCCAUGCCGCGUGAAGGAAGACGGCCUUAUGGGUUGUAAACUUCUUUACUACGCGAAUAGAGGUUAGUACGAGAUACUAAUAGGAAGGUAGUGUAGUAAAAGCACCGGCUAACCUCCGUG
rnacentral:rRNA from 1 species